AUAUCAAGAGGACAGAACAGGCAUCUGUCACCCUUUGUGGAGAUGUAGGGUACGCCGACCUACCUUGAUAU
rnacentral:ncRNA from 1 species